UCAAAUGAAUUGACGGGGCCCGCACAAGCAGCGGAGCGUGUGGUUAAUUCGAGGCAACACGAAGAACCUUACCUGGGCUUGACAUGUUGUGGUAGUGAAGCGAAAGCGGAUCGACCCUUCGGGGAGCGUUCACAGGUGCUGCAUGGCUGUCGUCAGCUCGUGCCGUGAGGUGUUCGGUUAAGUCCGGUAACGAGCGCAACCCUUGCUGUUAGUUACAAGUGUCUAACGGGACUGCCGGUUUAAUACCGGAGGAAGGUGGGGAUGACGUCAAGUCAGCAUGGCCUCUAUGUCCAGGGCUACACACACGCUACAAUGGCCGGUACAGUGGGUUGCCAAACCGCGAGGUGGAGCUAAUCCUCAAAGCCGGUCUCAGUUCGGAUUGAAGUCUGCAACUCGACUUCAUGAAGGCGGAAUCGCUAGUAACCGCGAAUCAGCAGGUCGCGGUGAAUACGUUCCCGGGCCUU
rnacentral:rRNA from 1 species